GACAAUUAAAUAUACAGUGAUCACAUUUUUGUGUACUAUACACAGUUACACUAUGCAGGAAUCAAUUUCUGUAUGUUGCAAACAAUCAAAUAAAGUUUGAUUUCUUUAAAAGGCAUAAAAGUAGUUAUUUUGUGUUAAAACAUAUUUUUCUUUCGCACUGUCCUCCUGUUUAGUCCAGACUCACUCUUCACACUGGGGCUGUUCUGGCUCUUUUCUGAAGCUCAGUUCUGGAAAUACUUUGAGAUGCUGAACUUCAAAUAGGCCUCCAAUAAGAAAAUCUCCAUCCUGGUACAUCCCAUUCAGCUUAAAGUGUCCCUGGAUCUGACAGGAGUUUGAGCUGGGAAUAAAGGUAGCUGAGAUGCAGUGUGUUACAUUGGACAUCAUCUAGAUGGCAGUCAUGUGUUGGACUUUGUGUUCUUAAUGCGUAUGGUCCAUCAUAAACACCCUUGUGUACCUCCUGUGGUUAUGAGAGGACCUCUCACUAUCUUCUGGGGAUUGGGUAACACAAAUAAUUAAAGCAGUUUUUAACGAAAAAGAGGCUCCGACCCUUUACUAGCAAGUUGUACAUAAUAAAGUGGCAGUGUUCCUCUCUGGAUGUAAAAGGAUGAUGUAGCACUUCGGUGCAAAUAUGGCCACCAAUAAUCCAAAACUGGAUGCCAAGAUGGCAAAAAUCUCCACAGCCACUGCAUAUUUCCC